UACAGAGGGUGCAAGCGUUAAUCGGAGUUACUGGGCGUAAAGGGUGUGUAGGCUGAUAUUUAAGUUGAUUGUGAAAUCCCUGGGCUUAACCUAGGAAUUGCAGUCAAUACUGGAUAUCUUGGAGUAUGGUAGAGGAAAGUGGAAUUCUCGGUGUAGUGGUUAAAUACGUAGAUAUCGAGAAGAACACCAGUGGCGAAGGCGACUUUCUGGACCAAUACUGACGCUGAGGCACGAAAGCGUGGGGA
rnacentral:rRNA from 1 species